GGUAAGCGUAGGCGGCUGAUUAAGUCAGCGGUGAAAGGUAGCAGCUUAACUGUUUUACAUGCCGUUGAUACUGGUUAGCUUGAGUUGACAGAAGGCAGAUAGAAGUUCCUGGUGUAGCGGUGAAAUGCUUAGAUACCAGGAGGAAUACCGAUUGCGAAGGCAGUCUGCUGCAGUCACACUGACGCUGAGGCUCGAAGGUGCGGGGAUCAAACAGGAUUAGAUACCCCAGU
rnacentral:rRNA from 1 species